UGGCUUAGAUGGACUUACUGUUGAAUGUUAUUGUCACUUUUUUUGAGGAAUUAAAAUGUAUAUUUUCUCGUGUUAUUCAGAGUAUCCGGGAUGAUAGGAAAUUGACCAGAACUAUGAGAUUAGGAGUAAUUUACAUUGUCUAUAAGAAAAGGGGAGAUAAGUCCAUGUUUAAAAACUGGCGACCUAUUAGUCUUCUCAAUGUGGAUUACAAAAUCCUAGCCCGAGUAAUGUACAAUAGACUCAAAUCUGUUUUACCUACAAUUAUUUCAGAGAGUCAGUCUUGUUGUGUGAUUGGUCGUGAUAUUUCGGACACCAUUUUUAGUGUGCGAGACAUUAUUGAUAUCGCUAAUCACUUCACUAUUUCAUCAAUUAACGUAAAGGUAUUUAAUAUCUUUUAAGUUAAUUUUAACAUUUUCAGCAAAAUAGAUGCAUAUGUAUGGUUACAAGAAACCUGUUGGGUUGAUAUUUUUGUCUAUCAAGACAGCCGUAUGUGAUAAGUUAGUAUUGUUGUAAAUGAUACUUAAUUAUGACCACAUAAAAUGUGUUGCUAUUUAAAUGGCUAAAUGGUUUUGAUGAGUAUCAUUGAAGAGUUUUACGUAUUAUAUUAAAGUUGACGAUAUUGAAUAGAAUGUUGUGAAUGUUUAUGCACCUAAUACAGUGAGUGGUAGAAAAACACCUUUGAACAUUCAGAUAGAUAGCCUGGUUACAGGGGAUAAGUUUAAUACUACCUUAUCUUUACUAGAUCGCACAGGUAUUACGACACAUAGCAUAACUCCUAGUGUAUCUGCUUUGAAAAUUUUUAUGAUUACUGGAGAAGUAGAAAUAAUGAUUGUGCUGUUUUUCUCGAAAAAGAUAGUAAUGGCGCUUAUCUAAAAGUCAUAUAGAUCUAUAUUUUUUUUCUAUUUUUGUUUUCACGUAAUGUUUCUAUUGUGAUCAUUGCUUUGUAAUAACAAAAAAUGGCAGUGAUCAUUUCAAUUAAGGCCCCGAGGUUUGGAUGUUUAAAUAAAUUUGUGUAAGACGCUUGUUAUGCAGUUUUUAGUCUAAUAAAUGAUUGUGCUAAGAAGUAAACCUGAUAUACAAGGUGUGAAUGAACCCAACAUUUGCCAGGAUAAUUUGAAUAUAAAACAAAAGAAACUUUCUCAGUUGUAUCGUAUGGGUGGUAGUUAAACCGGAUGUCUAAGUAUUAUCAGAUUAAAAACAAGUUGCAAAUGUUUUCUUUGGACAUAGCUAAGGGGUAAUAUUUUGAUUACGAUAGAUAUGAGGGAUUGGGACAAAGUUUAGAAAAGGUUAAAAAAAAAAAAAAAAAUUAAUUCUGCUAUUGUAUGACCCAUAGUUAAGUGGACUGCAGAUAUGAUUUUUUUUUUUUUCAACUAGAGUGGCAACAUUGCAUCACAAUAAAUUGUUCACGUGAUACAGAUGGGAAUUCAUUACCUUCUUGUGAUGACAUGUGUAACGAAAUAAUUUUGACCGUGACUACGAAAAUGGGUAGAGUACAGAUGCGGCCAGCCUCAUUUUGAGAAAAAGCCGUCGAAAGUCGCGAGAUAUAUAUCUCUUUUUUUUUUCUUUUUUUUUUACAUAUAUUGUGAAUGAAUCAAAUGUCAGUCUGGUCUAUUUGACGAUCUGUGAUGCUGUCAUCAGAUAAAAAGUUUUUUGCGUAUAGAAAUCGCAAAAUGAGGGUAUCUAUAUAUAUAUAUUAUGUAAUCGAAUGCACCCGAUGGAACGGGAGAUCACUCUCAUUACCUAACUGCUGUACAGAUGUUCCACGAAGUUAACAUUAGCCUAUUCUCUUGAUUUUUUUUACACAAAAACUGCAGUGAUGAUUACUAUGAAAAACACGACUGGAAGAUGUGAUUUGUGAUUAUGAUGAAGUGUGAACGUUCAGGUGUAAGUAAUAUUUUACUUUCACUUAAAAUCUCGCGAUAUUGUGAACCGCGAACAUUUCAAUCAUCAUGAUGUCCUAGAUAUCGGGAUUUGAAUACAAGGUAACACAUGUUAUUAAUGGCACUGUCACUAUGAGUCAACUUUCAGUUGCAACAAACUCUAGCUGUUGUAGUAUUCCUACAGAAAUCAUUUUAAAUCAGGACAAACCAUUCAUAGAUGAAAAAGAGACUGUUGACCAGCUUUAUUAUUAAAAACUUUACGCAUUAUCGGAUGAUACUGGUGCUUUCCGUGAUCUUUCAUCCGAUUCCAGCAGUGACAAGUUUAAUUAUGAGUCAGAUGAAUCUUCAGAUGGGAAUCGUAUUGUAUUCGUUUCAACAGAACCCAGCAAUGACACCUGUAAAUUUAAACUAUAUAGUGGUGCGCCAUGCAGUGUAAAAAUUGACCUGGAAUCAGCAUUUAAAUUCAGAGAAUAAAGUCACCAAUUAACACACGAUGAACUUGAUAUAACAGUGAAGGCUGGGCUAUUUGCUCACCGGAGAUCUGGUGAUCAUACCCAGUCAAAGAAGCACAAGGUAAAAGAGAGGGAACGACCGUAUGAAGAGUAUUAUUUUCAUGGAGUCCGUGUUUGUAGAACUGCAUUUUGUUUUAUACGUGAUAUAAGCAAGAACAAAUUACAGGCAAUUAGUAAGUCGCUGGAUACUCAUGGUUUGAUUCCAAGAAAACAUGGUAUUUCUGGAAAAUCUCCAGUCAGAAAAAGUGCUUCUUCCCUCAGAUACAACUGCCUUGGACAUUUUUUAAAUGUAUGAAACCCUGGCUGUUGACAUGAAGUUUAGACGAGUAAGUCUUCGUACAUUUCAGAGAGUAUGGCAUGAUUUAAGUUCAUGCAUUACAGUCAUGAAACCAUGUACAGACUUGUGCAACUUGUGUCAAAAAUGUUCACAUAAACCUUCUGUGACUGGUACUGCAAAUGAUGAUGAGAAGAAACAAGUAUUGGAGGAGUAUAGCAACCAUGUCAACCAUGCUAAACAACAGAGCGAUGUAUACAGACAACAAUGUUCAGAUAGUAAAGAAAAGUUCAAAUUGCUGCCAUAAGAAAAGAAAAUAUCAAGUAAUUUGCCCUGUUCAGUCGAUGAAGCUUUCCAUUACUCCUGGGAUUUUGCACAGCAAGUUCAUUUCCCUAUCAUGCUCAGCAGGUUGGUGGGUUGGUCCCAUCUUCGUUAAGACCCCACGGAAGUGCAGUGUCUUCGGAAACUGCUCAGAGGGCUCAGAAUAGCAACAUUUCUACUUAGUAGAUGAGGCUGAAAACUCUGGAAUAGGGAAGGGAGCUAACUUGGUUGUCAGCAUGGUCCAUCACUAUUUCAGCAUUAUGGACAUGGAGAAAGGAUUGCCAACAUCCAUUUUGAUAACUUUAGUGGAUAGAAUACGAACAACAUUGUGUUGUGGUAUGCCCUUUGGAGAGUCUUAGUUGGUCUGCAUAUUGUCGUUCAAUACUCCAUGAUGAUCCAAAAUGAUUGCUGGCCACACAACGUUUGAUCCUGACUGGCAUUUCGGUGUGUGGAAAUUGCACUGGAGAUCCAGUACUGUUGAAACCCUAGAUGAGGUUGCCCAGACAGUUACAAACUCAUCCCGUAAUAGACAUAACAUUCCACAGUUGAAGAAAGAUCAAGACAAACUUAGAGACUGGAAGUCAUACUUAAAGCAGAAACUUCAAGCCACUGAAGAAUCUCACAAAAUAUCACCAUUUUCUUCUUGAUACUACCAAGUCUGGGACAGUGUUAUGCAAGGAACUUAAUGACUCUCCAACAGUGUCUGUCAACCUGCUAAAGAGAAAGGACUUCCUUCCGUCUGUGGAUGAUGAACCAGAAGACAUGGUGUCAGCAGGACUGGAUCCAUUAAGACAGUGGUAUUUGUAUGACAGCAUUAGGGAAUUUUGUAAGACACAAAGCUCACAGAACAUUACAUGUCCUAAACCCACUGUACCGAAAUCAGAAGUGGACCUAGUAAAAGAAAUUGACAAAGUACCAAGUCUUCCAUGCAAAUGAAAAGGUUUACUGUUGAGAUGAUGUUGCUGAUUGCUCGCUUAGCAUAUACAGUAUCUUGAUGCAAGCAGCAUGUAUAUCUAUGUCUAAAAGUUUGACAACCAAAGAAUGUUUUGAUA